AGAGUUUGAUCCUGGCUCAGGAUGAACGCUAGCUACAGGCUUAACACAUGCAAGUCGAGGGGUAGCAUGACCUAGCAAUAGGUUGAUGACGACCGGCGCACGGGUGAGUAACACGUAUCCAACCUUGCUUUAACUCGGGUAUAGGCUUUUGAAAGAAAGAUUAAUCCCUGAUGGUAUCAAGAGAACUCCUGUUUUUUUGAUUAAAGAUUAAUCGGUUUUAGAUGGGGAUGCGUUCCAUUAGAUAGUUGGUAAGGUAACGGCUUACCAAGUCUUCGAUGGAUAGGGGUUCUGAGAGGAAGGUCCCCCACAUUGGAACUGAGACACGGUCCAAACUCCUACGGGAGGCAGCAGUGAGGAAUAUUGGUCAAUGGGCGAGAGCCUGAACCAGCCAAGUAGCGUGAAGGAUGACUGCCCUAUGGGUUGUAAACUUCUUUUAUGUGGGAAUAACAGGCUGUACGUGUACGGUUUUGCAUGUACCGCAUGAAUAAGGAUCGGCUAACUCCGUGCCAGCAGCCGCGGUAAUACGGAGGAUCCGAGCGUUAUCCGGAUUUAUUGGGUUUAAAGGGUGCGUAGGCGGUAUAAUAAGUCAGUUGUGAAAUAUUGCGGCUCAACCGUAAUUGUGCAGUUGAAACUGUUAUACUUGAGUUCAACAGAGGUGGGCGGAAUUUGUGGUGUAGCGGUGAAAUGCUUAGAUAUCACGAAGAACUCCGAUUGCGAAGGCAACUCACUGGAUUGCGACUGACGCUGAUGCACGAAGGUGUGGGUAUCAAACAGGAUUAGAUACCCUGGUAGUCCACACAGUAAACGAUGAAUACUCGCUGUUUGCGAUAUACAGUAAGCGGCCUAGCGAAAGCAUUAAGUAUUCCACCUGGGGAGUACGCCGGCAACGGUGAAACUCAAAGGAAUUGACGGGGGCCCGCACAAGCGGAGGAACAUGUGGUUUAAUUCGAUGAUACGCGAGGAACCUUACCCGGGCUUGAAUUGCGAUGGAAUGAUUUGGAAACAGGUUAGUCAGUAAUGACCAUCGUGAAGGUGCUGCAUGGUUGUCGUCAGCUCGUGCCGUGAGGUGUCGGCUUAAGUGCCAUAACGAGCGCGACCCUAAUUUUUAGUUACUAGCAGGUAAUGCUGAGGACUCUAAAGAGACUGCCGUCGUAAGAUGUGAGGAAGGUUGGGAUGACGUCAAAUCAGCACGGCCCUUACGUCCGGGGCUACACACGUGUUACAAUGGGGGGUACAGCGGGUUGCUACCUGGUGACAGGAUGCUAAUCUUAUAAAACCUCUCUCAGUUCGGAUCGAAGUCUGCAACCCGACUUCGUGAAGCUGGAUUCGCUAGUAAUCGCGCAUCAGCCACGGCGCGGUGAAUACGUUCCCGGGCCUUGUACACACCGCCCGUCAAGCCAUGGAAGCCGGGGGUACCUGAAGCGCGUAACCGUCGAGGAUCGCUCUAGGGUAAAUCUGGUAACUGGGGCUAAGUCGUAACAAGGUAACCGUA
rnacentral:rRNA from 1 species